ACCGUGCAAAGGUAGCAUAAUCAUUAGUUUUUUAAUUGAAAGCUGGAAUGAACGGUUGGACGAGAAAAUAACUGUCUCAGUUUAAUUGUAUGUAGAAUUUUAUUUAUAAGUAAAAAAGCUUAUAUGAUUUUAAAAGACGAGAAGACCCUAUAGAGUUUUAUAGUUUUUUAUAUGAAUUAGGUUUAGAAUAUUUACAUUUUUUAUAUAAAAACCUAUUUUGCUGGGGCAGCAGAAAAAUUGAUUAAACUUUUUUUAUUUAUAAAACAUUGAUUUAUGAUUUAAUGAUCCAUUUUUUAUGAUUACAAGAUUAAAUUACCUUAGGGAUAACAGCGUAAUUUUUUUUUAGAGUUCUUAUCGAAAAAAGAGUUU
rnacentral:rRNA from 1 species